AGCCGAGAGCCAAAAGAAGGAGGAAAAAUCCGCUGGCCGGCGGUGCGGCAAUGUGGAGACUUGCCGUAAUGCCCCUGGAGUUCCACUCUCCAGAGGGCGAGACUGGGUUUGCGGAGGCAUCCCAGCCACGGCCCAUGUGUAUGGCA
rnacentral:ncRNA from 1 species